rnacentral:lncRNA from 1 species
AAAAUGAUGACCUCAUCAUGUUUGUGGACUUUGAAGGUACUUUUCUUGGUCUUCCUGAGUAAAUAAUCCUAUGCUCUUGGCACUCUACUGAUUUUAUCCUGAUUUUAAAGCACACAUGGAGGGUGGGGAUGAGGUUAAAAAAAAUGUGUUGUAGGAGAACCACAUUUUCUUCAAUUGGUCAAGGACUCACAUCUUUAUUUUAACUGUCCCUGAAAGAAACUGAAAUUUUAGUGUCAUCUUUUAGAAAAUUUUAUCAGAGGUAACAGUUCACUGAUUUCAAUUUAGUUUCCAUCAGUCUAUCCAUGCUAACUUUAUGCUUCAUUUUGCAAAUUCAAUAAAUAAAAAUGUGACUGGAUUACUUUAAAAUAAAACUAGCUAGUACCGUGGGAAUCAGCUGGAUUCAAAGCCACUUUUCCAUGUCACUGGGGGUGACAUAUCACUAGAGAUAGAAGCAGGCUGGGGAACUUUCACCAGAAGUGGGAGUUCACUGUAGUCAGUUACUAAUCCUGGAUCUUCCUCGUGACCCUCUAUUUCCUGAAGAUAUCACCCACCUCAGCCAGACUGAAGUUCCCACUAAAGGCAAAAGACUGAGCCCCCAAGGCCUCAUUCUCCAAGGCCAGGAGCAGCAGGUCUCCAAAGAAGGUUCAGGAAAGGCCAUGUUAGAGGAAGCCGUACCUGUCAGCCUCAGCCAGGGGCAGCCCAGCUGACAGAAGCCGUCAGUGAAGAACACAGGCCCCCUGGAGGACCAUAACUGGCCACAGUACUUCAGAGACCCAUGUGACCCAAACCCUUGCCAAAAUGAUGGCAUCUGUGUGAACCUGAAGUGGGUGGCGAGGUGCAGGUGCAUCUCUGGACAUGCUUUCUUCUAAAUGGGAGCGCUGUCAGGCCAUGCAGGUGCAUGGCAGCGUCCUGGGCAUGGUGAUCAGAGGCACGGCUGGUGUGAUCUUCUUGACCUUCUCCAUCAUCGCCAUCCUUUCCCAAAGGCCAAGGAAGUGACCUGCCUGUUGGCAUUGGCCAGACCACAGCAGCACCUCCUCCAUGCAGGCCUUACCUUCCAAUGGUCAGUGCAGUUUGGGGCAGCUUUUUAAUCAGCCUUGCUUUGGAUAGGACCUCCAAGGUCUAAGGCCUCCAGCCCCAUGUGUGACCCUUGUCAUCUUUCUGCCCCACAUAAUUCUGUUACUCUGCUAUGUGCUCCUAAUGUAUCUAGUGUGUCCUGUGACAACAUUCAUCAUACUUCAUUAUAAACCACUUGUUUGAUUGACUGUCUUUCCUAUAGACUGUAAGCCCCAUGAGGGCAGGCACAUGUUGUUAUUGACCAUGCUGGCCACAUGCCUAGAUGCAUGGCUGGCACAUUGUGGGCACUCAACAAUGGUUGAAUAAAUAAAACAAUAAAUGAAUGAAUAAGAUAUACAAACUCAUUUAUAUUGCAGAUCAAAUAUAUAUGAUGAAAUUCUUAUGUUGAAU